rnacentral:lncRNA from 1 species
CUUUUACCACUUACCAUCAGUGCUACAUUCUAAGCACAAAACUGAACCAAUUUAACUAAAUAAGUUAUAGUUAUCAUCUGAGAGACAACAACAAUGGUAAAAUGCAAUAAAAUAUAAAGAUUUUACUAGCAAAAUGGAAAUUCCCCUGUAAUCAUCUUAUAUCUGGAAAACCAGCCGACUUAACUGAUAAUAACAAUCCAGAUUGGGUUCCUUCAAUAAAUAUGGGGUAUA